rnacentral:lncRNA from 1 species
GAUUGUGCCUGAUGUUCAUAUGAUGAAAUCAUAAUCUUUCAGUCAGUUUAAUUGAAGUCUGGAGCUGGCAUGUCAGUUAACUGCUAGUAGUCUGUUGUUAUUUAUGUAUUAUUGUCAUUUUGUUUAUUUUCUUUGGUUACAUCUUCUGACAUCAGACUCGGACUUCUCUUGAACUGAAUUUUAAUGUGCGUAUUGUUAUGCGUUUACUUUUCUACAUUGGCUAGAGGUAUAGGGGGAGGGUUGAGAUCUCACAAACAUGUUUAACCCCGCCUCAUUUUUGCGCCUGUCCCAAGUCAG